UACGUAGGGUGCAAGCGUUAAUCGGAAUUACUGGGCGUAAAGCGUGCGCAGGCGGUUUUGUAAGUUUGUCGUGAAAUCCCCGGGCUCAACCUGGGAAUUGCGAUGAAGACUGCAAGGCUAGAAUCUGGCAGAGGGGGGUAGAAUUCCACGUGUAGCAGUGAAAUGCGUAGAGAUGUGGAGGAACACCGAUGGCGAAGGCAGCCCCCUGGGUCAAGAUUGACGCUCAU
rnacentral:rRNA from 1 species